UUGUCAUUAUAAAACUGAUGGAGCUGC
rnacentral:sRNA from 1 species